UGGAGAUCGUGCGAACCAACCGAUACCGAGUGUUCCGGAUGAGAUUGAAAAAAAAGUUUUCACCAAAAAGGAGAGAACCGGAACGAUGAAUCGGAGCAUCCCCGCUGGCCGUGAUCGAGGGUCGCGAAACAUGCAAAAAGGCGGGAGGAAAGGAAAGUGGAAGGGGGAGCAUAAAACGUGGCUCAUCGAGGGUUCUCAAAAACGUUACCACCCCAGUCAUUACCCUGGCAUUAACGAGGGAUGAUUUUGCCUCUAACCUUCGCGGAUUCGUCGUUUUAUCGAGUGACAGAGACUCACCGGCAUACACCAGUUCUUCGCUGGAGGGGAGUCCAGUCUAUGUGGACAAGAAAAAAAAAAGAAAAAAGAGGAAGCGCAUUUUCCAACGGGGCGAGCAAAGAAAAAUAGAACAUUCGUAAUACGUAUAGUCGGAGAAAGAACAAAGGAAAGGAACAAUUUGGCAACGCUUGGGCCAACUGGUCGCUUCGUGCCCGGAAACCACAGCAGCUGCAAAUCGUGCAACGGUAGAAAGGUGUACAACGCGAAUUCGAGAAGAUCGAGUUCGUUCUUCUAUUUCUGAUGCGAGUUCGAGUUGCAAUGGGACAAAGUGCGAUGGACGGAUCGUUGACCGACUCGCCGCUUUUCCCCAGGGAUCCGCGUGCGGUCCUAACCAAAUAUUUGAC